AUUGAACGCUGGCGGCAUGCCUAACACAUGCAAGUCGAACGGCAGCACAGGAGAGCUUGCUCUCUGGGUGGCGAGUGGCGGACGGGUGAGGAAUACAUCGGAAUCUACCUUUUCGUGGGGGAUAACGUAGGGAAACUUACGCUAAUACCGCAUACGACCUACGGGUGAAAGUGGGGGACCGCAAGGCCUCACGCGAUUAGAUGAGCCGAUGUCCGAUUAGCUAGUUGGCGGGGUAAUGGCCCACUAAGGCGACGAUCGGUAGCUGGUCUGAGAGGAUGAUCAGCCACACUGGAACUGAGACACGGUCCAGACUCCUACGGGAGGCAGCAGUGGGGAAUAUUGGACAAUGGGCGCAAGCCUGAUCCAGCCAUACCGCGUGGGUGAAGAAGGCCUUCGGGUUGUAAAGCCCUUUUGUUGGGAAAGAAAUCCUGUCGGUUAAUAACCGGUGGGGAUGACGGUACCCAAAGAAUAAGCACCGGCUAACUUCGUGCCAGCCGCCGCCGUAACAC
rnacentral:rRNA from 1 species